rnacentral:rRNA from 1 species
GAUGAACGCUGGCGGCGUGCCUAAUACAUGCAAGUCGAGCGAACAGACGAGGAGCUUGCUCCUCUGACGUUAGCGGCGGACGGGUGAGUAACACGUGGAUAACCUACCUAUAAGACUGGGAUAACUUCGGGAAACCGGAGCUAAUACCGGAUAAUAUAUUGAACCGCAUGGUUCAAUAGUGAAAGACGGUUUUGCUGUCACUUAUAGAUGGAUCCGCGCCGCAUUAGCUAGUUGGUAAGGUAACGGCUUACCAAGGCAACGAUGCGUAGCCGACCUGAGAGGGUGAUCGGCCACACUGGAACUGAGACACGGUCCAGACUCCUACGGGAGGCAGCAGUAGGGAAUCUUACGCAAUGGGCGGAAGCCUGACGGAGCAACGCCGCGUGAGUGAUGAAGGUCUUCGGAGCGUAAAACUCUGUUAUUAGGGAAGAACAAAUGUGUAAGUAACUAUGCACGUCUUGACGGUACCUAAUCAGAAAGCCACGGCUAACUACGUG